rnacentral:lncRNA from 10 species
CCUUGACUGCAAAGGGCGGCACGCAGCUGAUGUAAUGGUCGCUUAAGUGUUCACAAAUGGCCUGAACACCCUGUCCUACCUGGUCCUACCUGGAUGCUGGCCUCAGUAAGCUCCUGGGCUCAUUGAAGAUGAACCUAGCAGUAGUAUUUACACCACUUGUUGUGUGCCCACUGUGGGCCCGGCGCCAUGCCGAGUGCUCUAUGGAUGUGAGGAGAAACGGAGGCCCAGAAAGCAGAAAUGAUGUGUUAAGAUCACUCAUCAAGCUGAUGGUACAGAGCCUGACCUCGUGAUCUACCCGCCUCAGCCUCCGAAAGUGCUGGGAUUAGAGGUGUGAGCCACCGUACCCAGCUGAGUUUCCAAAUAUUUCUGAUUUCACCAGCGGGGGAAGACUGGCAGGCUCCUAUAUCCUCGAAGUAUCCUGCCAUGAGAUGCCUGCAGAGUGGGGAAUGGCAUCACCUUUCCAACCCUGUGCAGCACCCAGUGCGAGCUGCUUAUUAGUGGGAACUGGAGAGGAAGAGGAGGAAAAGGAGGACCCAUGGCCAUGGCUUUUUCUGUCCUUGUAACCCUCAACUGAUAUGUAUCCCAUACUUCUUGGUUGGGCAGAGGGGAGAGCAGAGGUUGACAGGUCACAUUUCCCUCAGUUUUCCAUCCUUCCUUCAGUGCUGGGAGAGAAAAGCAUACGACAUAGACAGGGAGGUCAAGCUCCACCACGCAGAUGAGGUGCAGGCCACCAGUCUUCCUCUGCCACAUCUCUUUCUGAAAAGGUAACCCUGCACCGCCUUCCCAUUGGCUGCCACCUUGCAUCCCCUCAUGACUGAGUAAGCCAAGCUUUGUUGGCCGCACCUGCCAAGCCACAGGGUGCCUCAGGCUUGGAGCAUCCCGGAGCCAGUUACAACCCAAGACUUCAGCCUUCUGGAAGGUGUUGGGUCAGCCACCCUGAAGGACGAUCCUGCCCAAGUGACAUGCUUUGCUCUUCCUUCUCACCCAGGACUUCACAUUCACCCUUGCAAUCCAUGUGGGGACACUGUUGGAUAGGAGGCGUGGUCCCAGCGUGGUCUCCCUGUCUGGGCCUCUGCCUAUGCCAAAUGUUUGCCUUACGCUGCACACUCAAGAGGUUCCAUGUAUACAGAUGGGAAUUCCAGAGCUACAGAAAAGGCAGCAAGCACCAUGAUUUAAGCUAACCAGUGUGGAUUCACACCUUCCUCUCUCUCUAUCAGUGGCAGAACUACCAGCUAGAGUAAGAAGUGGUUGAUCCAGGACCUAAACAUUCUGGAAACUCUUGCCCACUUCUGGGAGAAAUGACCCAAUCCAUAGUACUAAGCACACCUUAACUUUCGUAGGACGCAGGCAAGUUGUCAUACCGUGUGCCUAAAUAUAGAAAAAUGAUCCACUGGACUAAUAAAGUGUUAAAUAAAAUAUGUCCUGACUGUCUACUUUGACAACAUACUUUCAUAAUGACAAAACUUAAAAAUGUAUAAAGCUAUGGUUUUUAUAUAGUUGAAAAUUGACAAAAC